AAUUCGAAGCAACGCGCAGAACCUUACCAGCUUUUGACAUUCGGGGUAUGGGCAUUGGAGACGAUUUCUUUCAGUUGGGCUGCCCCCCGAACAGGUGCUGCAUGGCUGUCGUCAGCUCGCGUCGUGAGAUCUUGGGUUAAGUCCCGCAACGAGCGCAACCCUCGCCCUUAGUUGCCAGCAUUUAGUUGGGCACUCUAAGGGGACUGCGGGUGAUAAGCCGAGAGGAAGGUGGGGAUGACGUCAAGUCCUCAUGGCCCUUAGGGGGUGGGCUACACACGUGAUACAAUGGUGGUGACAGUGGGCAGCGAGACAGCGAUGUCGAGAUAAUCUGCAAAAGCCAUUUCAUUUCGGAUUGCAUUCUGCAAUUGGAGUGCAUGAAGUUGGAAUCGCUAGUAAUCGCAGAUCAGCA
rnacentral:rRNA from 1 species